rnacentral:rRNA from 1 species
AUUGAACGCUGGCGGCAGGCCUAACACAUGCAAGUCGAGCGGAUGACGGGAGCUUGCUCCUUGAUUCAGCGGCGGACGGGUGAGUAAUGCCUAGGAAUCUGCCUGGUAGUGGGGGACAACGUUUCGAAAGGAACGCUAAUACCGCAUACGUCCUACGGGAGAAAGCAGGGGACCUUCGGGCCUUGCGCUAUCAGAUGAGCCUAGGUCGGAUUAGCUAGUUGGUGGGGUAAUGGCUCACCAAGGCGACGAUCCGUAACUGGUCUGAGAGGAUGAUCAGUCACACUGGAACUGAGACACGGGCCAGACUCCUACGGGGGGCAGCAGUGGGGAAUAUUGGACAAUGGGCGAAAGCCUGAUCCAGCCAUGCCGCGUGUGUGAAGAAGGUCUUCGGAUUGUAAAGCACUUUAAGUUGGGAGGAAGGGCAGUAAGCUAAUACCUUGCUGUUUUGACGUUACCGACAGAAUAAGCACCGGCUAACUCUGUGCCAGCCGCCGCAGUAACAC